rnacentral:rRNA from 1 species
GACGAACGCUGGCGGCAUGCCUAACACAUGCAAGUCUAGGGUGUAGCAAUACACACUGGCGCACGGGUGAGUAACGCGUAGAUCAUCUGCCCCUAUCACCGACAUAACUCUUGGAAACGGGAGCUAAUAUCGGAUGAGGUGAGCAAUCAUCAAAGUUUCGACGGAUAGGGAUGAGUCUGCGUCUGAUUAGGUAGUUGGUGAGGUAAUGGCUCACCAAGCCUACGAUCAGUAGCUGGUCUGAGAGGACGAACAGCCACACUGGAACUGAGACACGGUCCAGACUCCUACGGGAGGCAGCAGUGAGGAAUAUUGGACAAUGGGAGCAAUCCUGAUCCAG